CCAGGCACCUCUAAAUGAAGGUCCAAGUGUUCCUGUACAUAGUGUGUGUAUUUGUACUACUUGUAAGGGAAGUACUGGGCUACAACAUUGAGGCAUCAACAGACGAGAGACUGAGGAGGCGCCGGGAAAUACGAGGAGCGCCUCCGGUUGAGUUCAGAGAGUCCCUAGAGAGCCGAGAGAGAGCCCUUGUCUUCCCCUUUUAUUGCUAAGGGGCUAGGCUGUACCGCCAGGAGCCUCCGCGUCCCUCCUUUUGGAUCCUUCAGGCCUCACCUGCAAGUGCCCCUCACCUGCACUCGUGGGGAGGUAGUUCCAGCGGCCACAUCAGAAGCGAGGGACGGAAGCGGAACCGCCAGCCAUGGAAGCACGAAAGAGCG